rnacentral:snRNA from 1 species
GCCUCGGCAUCAGCGUGCU